GACGAACGCUGGCGUCGUGCUUAACACAUGCAAGUCGAACGGAAAGGCCCUGCUUUUGUGGGGUGCUCGAGUGGCGAACGGGUGAGUAACACGUGAGUAACCUGCCCUUGACUUUGGGAUAACUUCAGGAAACUGGGGCUAAUACCGGAUAGGAGCUCCUGCUGCAUGGUGGGGGUUGGAAAGUUUCGGCGGUUGGGGAUGGACUCGCGGCUUAUCAGCUUGUUGGUGGGGUAGUGGCUUACCAAGGCUUUGACGGGUAGCCGGCCUGAGAGGGUGACCGGCCACAUUGGGACUGAGAUACGGCCCAGUCUCCUACGGGAGGCAGCAGUGGGGAAUAUUGCACAAUGGGCGGAAGCCUGAUGCAGCAACGCCGCGUGCGGGAUGACGGCCUUCGGGUUGUAAACCGCUUUCGCCUGUGACGAAGCGUGAGUGACGGUAAUGGGUAAAGAAGCACCGGCUAACUACGUG
rnacentral:rRNA from 1 species